AGUGAACGCUGGCGGUAGGCCUAACACAUGCAAGUCGAACGGCAGCACAGUAAGAGCUUGCUCUUACGGGUGGCGAGUGGCGGGCGGGUGAGGAAUACAUCGGAAUCUACUUUUUCGUGGGGGAUAACGUAGGGAAACUUACGCUAAUACCGCAUACGACCUACGGGUGAAAGUAGGGGAUCUUCGGACCUUGCGCGAUUGAAUGAGCCGAUGUCGGAUUAGCUAGUUGGCGGGGUAAAGGCCCACCAAGGCGACGAUCCGUAGCUGGUCUGAGAGGAUGAUCAGCCACACUGGAACUGAGACACGGUCCAGACUCCUACGGGAGGCAGCAGUGGGGAAUAUUGGACAAAGGGCGCAAGCCUGAUCCAGCCAUACCGCGUGGGUGAAGAAGGCCUUCGGGUUGUAAAGCCCUUUUGUUGGGAAAGAAAAGCAGCAGGUUAAUACCCCGCUGUUCUGACGGUACCCAAAGAAUAAGCACCGGCUAACUUCGUG
rnacentral:rRNA from 1 species